UACGUAGGUGGCAAGCGUUAUCCGGAAUUAUUGGGCGUAAAGCGCGCGCAGGCGGCUUCUUAAGUCUGAUGUGAAAUCUUGCGGCUCAACCGCAAGCGGUCAUUGGAAACUGGGAGGCUUGAGUGCAGAAGAGGAGAGUGGAAUUCCACGUGUAGCGGUGAAAUGCGUAGAGAUGUGGAGGAACACCAGUGGCGAAGGCGGCUCUCUGGUCUGUAACUGACGCUGAGGCGCGAAAGCCUGGGUAGCAAGAAGG
rnacentral:rRNA from 1 species